UGUAGCUGUGUUUCAGCUGCAGGACAGCAGUGAAGGCCCAGGUAUAAAAUGCAUGGCCCACCACUGGUUAAUACAGAUGUAUGGUACAAGUACAGCAAAAUUCAGUUUGAAGCUUCCCUAUCGAACACAGCAGUCAGUUGGGCUCCUAAUCCCCCUUUUCUGCAUCCAUUCUCAUCUAACUCAGUAUUUUAAACUUAGGAUGUUCUCUGGGAUCUCAGUUUAAAAAAAGUUAAGAUAUAUGAAUGCAUCUAAAACAUAGUACAUAUUAAAGCUUUUACCUUUCAUAUAUUUCUGUUUCCAAGCAUACACUCGCCACAUAAUGGAUCAAAACUUGUGACAUCAUAGGUUAUUGUCAAGUUCAAGAUGUGCGCUUAAGAACGGGCACACAGCACGGAGAGAGAGGGCUGAUAAACGGGCUUCAUUGAUCAGUCCCAUGGGAACCAGGAGGCACUGCAAUUGCUUUCACCUCAGGCCAGAUGGUUGUGGGGCAUGGCAGAACAUGCUGAGGAUGUAUGCCCUGUCAGUCCACAAAUCAGAGGUCCUCUCAUGUGGGUAUGAGUGCGAAAAAUAAGGAGACUUACUGGGUAGCGACCGUGACUUUUUCCAUGAUAACACCGGGUGUUUUCUCAGUGUGGAUCAGAGAACCCGCUUUAUUGGCCGCUUUACGCAUACGUGGAAUUUGACUCCUGUUUCCACUUCGCUCUCAAUGUACAUACACAAGUUUACAAUAAACAAGAAAAGAAUUUAUAAAAAAUAAAACGAGGGCAACAAAGAAAGUCGAACAGAUGUAGGUAUAAACAUUUAUACCUUUUACAUUGUAAUCUCACCUUCUGAAAUAAUGCCAUACAUCCUGUUGCUUUUGCUAACACCUCCUCUAAAUUCAUUUAAGUGAAAUGUAUCUGUAUAUUCAGAUUUGUUGAUUUUGUGGUGUGUUUUAAAGUAACAAGCAACUGAUGAGACAUCCACUCCCAUCAAGUUUGUAGCAUGUUCCUGUCCCUUUGCUUUCCAGAAGUCUUAGUUUGUUCUGAAAGUCUCUGUUUACCUAAACUCUGACUCAGCAGCUCUCCGUUUCCCUCCAGUAUUGUAAUGAUUGUUGACAGCAUGGCGGUAUGAACAGUGUGCUCCCUCUGACGUUCUUUCGUUCUCUCUUUCUCCUCUCUCAGACUUGAUUCAGUGCACAAAUGAGAUGAAUGUGAACAUCCCUCAGCUGGCCGACACACUGUUUGAGAGGACCGCCAGCACCAGCUGGGUGGUUGUGUUCAAGUCCCUCACCGCUACACACCAUCUGAUGGUCUACGGCAAUGAGAGAUUUAUACAGUAUCUGGCCUCAAGAAACACACUAUUCAACCUCAGCAAUUUUUUGGACAAAAGUGGCCUACAAGGCUAUGAUAUGUCGACGUUCAUAAGGAGGUAUAGCCGCUACCUGAAUGAGAAGGCUGUGUCCUACAGACAGGUCGCUUUUGACUUCACGAAAGUAAAAAGAGGGUCUGAUGGAGUGAUGAGAACCAUGAACACAGAGAAACUCCUCAAGACCAUCCCCAUCAUCCAAAAUCAGAUGGAUGUGUUACUCGAUUUUAAUGUCAAUGCCAAUGAACUGACAAAUGGUGUGAUCAACGCAGCCUUCAUGCUUCUGUUCAAAGACGCGAUCCGACUGUUUGCAGCAUACAAUGAGGGCAUAAUCAACCUCCUGGAGAAAUACUUUGACAUGAAGAAAGUCCAGUGCAAAGAAGGACUCGACAUCUACAAGAAAUUCCUUACACGAAUGACUAGAAUCUCAGAGUUCCUCAAAGUUGCAGAGCAAGUCGGAAUUGAUCGAGGGGACAUCCCAGAUCUGUCACAGUUUACAGUUUGUGCCCCCAGUAGCCUGCUUGAUGCCCUGGAGCAGCACUUGGCCUCUUUAGAGGGAAAGAAAGUCAAAGACUCAACAGCAGCCAGCAGGGCCAGCACCCUCUCCAAUGCGGUCUCCUCCCUGGCCAACACUGGCAUAUCUUUCACCAAAGUGGACGAGAGGGAAAAACAGGCAGCCCUGGAGGAAGAGCAGAGUCUCCUGAGAGCACUAAAGGAGCAGCGUCUGUUAGAGCUCCAGAAGAAUCCUUCUGCAGCAACCACAGACUCCUCCCCUAUCUCCACGGUGGGCGGGACCAUCAACUCUGCCCCUGCCAUUGACCUCUUCUCCACCCCCAGCUCCACCAACAGCACCUCCAAGGCAGCCAAUGAGCUGCUGGACCUGCAGCCAGCUUUCCAGCAGUCCCUCCCUCUGUCCACCACCAACACAUGGGGAGAUCCUUUCACCUCUGCUGCAGAAGCUGUGGAGGAAUCCAUUCCAAACUCAAACCCUUUCCUCACACUACCUGUUGUCGAUGCUGUCCACCUGUCCAUGGCGUCCUUGGACGGUGGCAGACUGUCCUCUAGGACACCUAGCCAUGAAGUGUUUGAUCAUUACAAUCCCUUCUUUGACUCAAACUCUUCCCUGGCGUCUGAUCUUGAUUCUGCCACGCAGACAGAGACAUUUAUCACAGACUCCUUCUGUGGGCCGAGCCCUUACACCACUCCACUCUUCCAAUCUGAGUCCCCUGCUGUAGCUGGUCUAUUCAGAGGGUUUACAGCCUCCCCAACACCCCAGCAGCCACAGAACUCUCGGGGCCUUAACGUCGACUUUGACUCAGUAUUUGGCAACAACGUCAAUGCUAACAACCUGGAUGCUACAGGUAAGAGUAGUCUUACAUACACUAGUACUGUACAUCCCCAUUGCCCCUUGGGAGCCAGCAGACCUCAUGUACUCUGCUGCCACCUGAAGGUUUGGGGGACAGGUUGCAUGUCCACUGGAUCAUGUUGAGGCUAUGGAAAAUCAAAAGUGUUGGACUUUGAUUUGUUUGUGUGGUUUAUGUGGACUAUGAAUCUUCUGAGCAUAUCCCAAAUACUUCACUGAUUUCACUGACCAGGUCAUUUGAUUUAUAGUUGACAUGAUUUCUCCUUGGUUAACAUGCUCGGUCAAACCCCACAGACUCGAUGAGAGAUCCCUAAUGACCAUGAAAUAGAUGUUACACUCUAGCACAGUACAUAACCAUUAGACAAUGACAUAAGUGGGAGUUGGCUCAUUCUGAAAAAUCCUGUUAAGCACAUCACAGACAGCGGUCAUGAGUAUUUCUUAUUGUUGAAUAUCCACACAAUUAUCAUGUGCUUCUACCAUCUGACCACAUAUUUAUUCUUGGCAUGCACAGGUGCAGAAAAUGAGGAUUGUGUUGUGGCCAUAGAAAUCAUUUCAGCUAUGAUGGUCUUUAUGGUUCUUUGUCUGCUGACUAUUGUAAUUUUCAAUGAGCUGCAUACAUCACAAAAGCUCAGCGUUUGAUAAAACUAACUAUUGUUCUUUUCACCUGGGUUUGAAAAAAGUUGAAUUUUAGGAUUUAGAGAAAUUAAUCUCUUGUGUGGGAUUUUAUUUAAAUCUAAAUAUCUCUUAAAAUACUCAUUGGUGUAAUUCCUAACAAAUGAGCCCAUUACUGGAAACACUGGCAGCCUGUAACCGUAUUUAACACUCUGUGCCACUGAGAUGGAUUUUUGAGGAAAUUGCAAUAAAUUGUGAUUGACGAGAAAUGAGUAUACACCGUCACUGGAGUGUGAUUGAGGACUCCUAGUAAUUCUAUACCAUCUAACACACUCAUUGUUUGUUCACCUUCACUGGGUUGCCAACUGCUCACCAUCUCACAUCAUUUUUGUUCUCUCCUCCCUUGUCCUGGGCUGAAACACACUCUCUGGGGUCUUGGCUUUUGCAUGGUGUGUGCAUGACUGGGUGGCAUCCUCAAACCCACAGUGACAUCUUCACCCAGUCAGGGUUUGGGCAUGACCCUGAAUGGUCAACAGGCCCACAAACUGGU